UCCAGGGUACCCUAGUGGACAUGGCACCUGCCCGGUAAGCAGAAGGUUGUGGGUUCGAUUCCCGCCCCUGGAC
rnacentral:tRNA from 1 species